rnacentral:rRNA from 1 species
UACGUAGGGUGCAAGCGUUAAUCGGAAUUACUGGGCGUAAAGCGUGCGCAGGCGGUUGUGUAAGACAGAUGUGAAAUCCCCGGGCUCAACCUGGGAACUGCAUUUGUGACUGCACGGCUGGAGUGCGGCAGAGGGGGAUGGAAUUCCGCGUGUAGCAGUGAAAUGCGUAGAUAUGCGGAGGAACACCGAUGGCGAAGGCAGGUCUCUGGGCUGACACUGACGCUCAUGCACGAAAGCGUGGGGAGCAAACAGG